rnacentral:SRP_RNA from 1 species
GCUGGGCAUGGUGGUGCACGCCUGUAGUCCCAGCUACUUGGGAAGCUGAGGUGGGAGGAUCACUAGAACCCAGGAGUUCAAGGCUGCUGUGAGCCAUGAUUGUGCCAAUGCACUCCAGCCUGGGCAAGAGAGUGAGACCCUACCUCAA